GAUGAACGCUGGCGGCGUGCCUCAAACAUGCAAGUCGAGCGGGGCUAUGUUGGACCGUAAGGGAAGAUAUAGCCUAGCGGCGAACGGGUGAGUAACACGUGGGUAACCUACCUGGAAGACAGGGAUAACGAUUCGAAAGGGUCGCUAAUACCUGAUAAUAUCUAACAGUCGGAUGGCAGUUAGAAGAAAGGGGAAACCCGCUUUCAGAUGGGCCCGCGUCCCAUCAGCUAGUUGGUAAGGUAAAGGCUUACCAAGGCGACGACGGGUAGCCGGUCUGAGAGGAUGUACGGCCACACUGGGACUGAGAUACGGCCCAGACUCCUACGGGAGGCAGCAGUUGGGAAUCUUAGGCAAUGGGCGAAAGCCUGACCUAGCGACGCCGCGUGAGGGAAGAAGGCCUUCGGGAUGUAAACUUCUGAACUAGCCGAAUAAAAGGCCUGUGGACACACAGGAGAAGAAAGUAGGCUAGGAAAAGUCCCGGCUAACUACGUG
rnacentral:rRNA from 1 species